rnacentral:miRNA from 2 species
CGUGUUCAACGUUUGACUGUC